GGAAUUUUCCGCAAUCGACGCAAGUCGGACGGAGCAACGCCGCGUGCGGGAAGACGGCCCUCGGGUUGUAAACCGCUUUUGUGAGGGAAGAAGAUCUGACGGUACCUCCCGAAUAAGUCACGCCUAAACACGUGCCAGCAGCCGCGGUAAUACGUAGGUGGCGAACGUUGUCCGGAUUCACUGGGCGUAAAGCGCGCGCAGGCGGGUUGGUAAGUCUGAGGUGAAAGCUCCCGGCUCAACUGGGAGAAGCCCUUGGAUACUGCUAGCCUUGAGACACUUAGAGGAGAGUGGAAUUCCCGGUGUAGUGGUGGAAUGCGUAGAUAUCGGGAGGAACACCAGUGGCGAAAGCGGCUCUCUGGGAGUGUUCUGACGCUGAGGCGCGAAAGCGUGGGGAGCAAAC
rnacentral:rRNA from 1 species